UAGGGAAUUUUCGUCAAUGGGCGCAAGCCUGAACGAGCGAUGCCGCGUGAGUGAAGAAGGCCUUCGGGUCGUAAAGCUCUGUUGCGGGGGAAAAAAGGGCAUCUGCAGGAAAUGGUAGAUGACAGAUGGUGCCCCGCCAGAAAGUCACGGCUAACUACGUGCC
rnacentral:rRNA from 1 species